rnacentral:rRNA from 1 species
AUUGAACGCUGGCGGCAGGCCUAACACAUGCAAGUCGAGCGGAGAGGGGGACGGGUGAGUACUGCAUAGGAAGCUGCCUGGGGGUGGGGUAUAAAGUACGGAAACGGGAGAUAAUGACACAUACUAUAAGAGGAGCCUAGGUGGGAUUAGAUAGUUGGGGGGGAAAAGGAGAACAAAGGCGACGAUCUAUAACUGGGCUGAGGGGAUGAUCAGUCACAGUGGAACGGAGACACGGUCCAGACUCCUACGGGAGGCAGCAGUGGGGAAUAUUGGACAAUGGGCGAAAGCCUGAUCCAGCCAUGCCGCGUGUGUGAAGAAGGUCUUCGGAUUGUAAAGCACUUUAAGUUGGGAGGCGUUACCAACAGAAUAAGCACCGGCUAACUUCGUGCCAGCCGCCGCGGUAAUUC